ACCCCUGUAGCUUAGUGGUUAGAGCAUUGUGCUUAUAUGGGCAAGUCUUUGACGGCUUAUAUGAAAACACUCGCAAGGGUCGGCGGUUCGAACCCGCCCAGGGGUA
rfam:Aspergillus terreus NIH2624 scaffold_16 genomic scaffold, whole genome shotgun sequence.